AGGAAGUGAGACUGAUGCAACAAUCACCUUGAGCAGAAGAUUAAGAACCAAAUAACAGUUUAAAGAUUAAUGAUAAUUGCAAGCAAAUGAAUGUAUCUUACCUAAUGUUUUUCUUUCAGAGUUUGAAAGGGUCUGGUAGGCUGGUAGCUAUGAUAGGGUACCCUAAUAUCAGUCUCAUCUUCUCCGCUUCCGCUCCUUCAAUUUGCGGCUCCAGUCGCUCUGCAUGUUCUGAUUCUGCUGGCUUCACAGCCCUAUUUGUAUUCACAUCGUCUAUGGGAGAUGUGUGGGAGAUAGGUCGGUGAAUCCGGAUCUACAAACAACAACAAUCCCAAAAUCAUCAACAAACCGAAUCCAAACUCAAAAUCAAAAAACUAUGUGAAGCAGGAGGCCGUACUAGAGAUCGAGGAGGCAGAGUUCUUGAACCGAGCAUCAAGGCAGAGGAGAUGGUUGAGACAGGAAAAGCAGUGAAGGAGCGUGGAUGCUCUGAGCUUGAGAGGGUUAGAGAGAAUUAGAGACGGCAGAGGAGAGGCCGAGAGUGGAAGGGCCGCCUGUGUUUACGAGAGAGAGAGAGUGUGUUGUGCGGCGGUGCGGCCAAAGAAGAAAUAAAGAGGAAAUGAGGAAGGCUGCUAGGGUUUAGACCUUUAUUUAAUUUAAUUGGAGGAAAAGUUAAAAUUUAAAGGAGGAAGGGGGAAAUUUAAAUUUUGGGUGAAAUUAAAGGGCGGGUCUAAGUGGAAAUUUGUUUGUAGAUGAAGGGGCUAGGUAAACGUUUACAAAAUGUCAUGGUUUAUUUGUCAUUGACAAUGUUUAUCAAAUGUCAUUCAAACAUUUUCCAUAACGUUUUUCUAAUCGUCAUGGUUCCUUUAUCAUUCACGACAUUUUUUGAAACGUCAUAGAAAUAUUUUUCAUGACGUUUGAAAAUUGUCAUAAGAAAGAUGACAGGUGAAAAACAUAAUUAAAUAGUGAGACAUACAAUGACAUUUGACAAACAUCAUAAAUUU
rnacentral:lncRNA from 1 species